UCGGGAAUUUUGGGCAAUGGGGGAAACCCUGACCCAGCAACGCCGCGUGAAGGAUGAAGUAUUUCGGUAUGUAAACUUCGAAAGAAUAGGAAGAAUAAAUGACGGUACUAUUUAUAAGGUCCGGCUAACUACGUGCCAGCAGCCGCGGCAAUACGUAGGGACCAAGCGUUGUUCGGAUUUACUGGGCGUAAAGGGCGCGUAGGCGGCAUGAUAAGUCACUUGUGAAAUCUCUGGGCUUAACCCAGAACGGCCAAGUGAUACUGUCGCGCUAGAGUGCAGAAGGGGCAAUCGGAAUUCUUGGUGUAGCGGUGGAAUGCGUAGAUAUCAAGAGGAACACCUGAGGUGAAGACGGGUUGCUGGGCUGACACUGACGCUGAGGCGCGAAAGCCAGGGGAGCAAACGGGAUUAGAUACCCCCGUAGUCCCUGAGCGGGCUGGCAAGGCGCAU
rnacentral:rRNA from 1 species